rnacentral:rRNA from 1 species
GUGCCAGCAGCCGCGGUAAUACGGAGGGUGCGAGCGUUGUUCGGAAUCACUGGGCGUAAAGCGCGUGUAGGCGGCCUCCUCAGUCUGGUGUGAAAGCCCGGGGCUCACCCCCGGAAGUGCAUUGGAUACUGGGAGGCUGGAGUACCGGAGAGGAGGGUGGGAUUCCUGGUGUAGCGGUGAAAUGCGUAGAUAUCAGGAGGAACACCGGUGGCGAAGGCGGCCCUCUGGACGGAUACUGACGCUGAGACGCGAAAGCGUGGGGAGCAAACAGGAUUAGAUACCCCCGUAGUCC